CCCCCGUUCCUCCGCCGCCGCCUCCGAGCCUCCCCCGCGCCCAGCCCUCUCUUUUCGAGGGGGAGGGAGCCCGUCUCGCCCAUCUACUGACAAACCCCUUCACCCCAGCUUCGCCCCGCCUUCCCUGAGCUUCGGAACAAACUCCGCAGUGAGAGCUCGGCUUUCACAUUCCCGCCUCCGCCUCCUCUCUCCCCUCCCAACCCUAAAGCACUUCCUGCAUACUGCCCGGUUCUCGCUCCUCUCGGCGCCACCUCCCACUUCCCACUAACUAGGUGGCGGCUCUCACGUCGGCGGGGGCCGCGGGUUCUAGUCCUGGACUCUCCCCCCUGGAAGUAGUGGUCGUCUGACCCAUUUUGCGGAUGGGGAAGUUAAGGCCCCGAGAUCUGACGUGCUUGGCUCUAAUGGCCCCUCGAGUGGUUCCCAAGUUCGAACGCCCAGACGCUGGGAAGAUGGGCCCUCGACCCCCUGAAAUUCAUUUUAGAAUCCACAAUUUGAAUAGAUGCCCAUUAAGUCUUUUCAUCACCAAGCCUUCUAAAGAUGACUUUUCUGGCCAUUGCCUGUAGACUCUAUUCUUCGUCAGAUCCUGGGACUCCAGAAAAAAAUUAAAAAGAGCCUUAAAGAUAAAGUUUAAAGAACGAUUUACCAUUAAUGACUAGCCUUUCUGAUUUCUUCUUGACUACAGAGCUUAGCUGAUAAACUUGACUUGAUCAAGAAGCUACCAAGAUCUAUUCUACUUGUUCAGGGUUUACCAGUUGCUUUAAAUUUCUCUCAAAUGUCCUAACCUUCAUGCAAACUUCCUAAAAAGUGGGCCAAGAUGGUCUUAAUCUCUUCUAGCCAUCCAUUAACACACUAUACAUACCAGUGUUUCUGAAGCCAGCAGGAUUCCUUAAGAUACUACCAGGUGUUCAGGGUGAAAUAAAUUUGGGAAACACUGGA